UGAGCUCCAAGAAAUGGAAGCAAACCAGAAAAGGCUGCAUAGAGAAACAAGAAGUCAGCCUUCAAGUCAGCUAAAAGGGCAAGGGACAAAAUCAAAUUAGCUGCUCCUGUUGAAGAUGACGAGGUCAGCUCAUUGUUUCUUGAACCAAAUAACAGAGUGGAAGGCAGUCAAGGCUGCAGAAAAAUAAAGCAGCUUAAGGGAAAUGGCAGUUUGGGGAGGAGGGGGGGGGGGUGUUCAGUGGAAGAUAGACAGCACACCAGAUUCGGGGAUUCAGAUGGGGAAUGUCCGUUUUUUAAAAAGGGAAGACAAUAUAGAAGAUGCAGAUCAAACAGAGGAGCUUAGGCUUAUGAUCUAUGCUGGGAGGCUUUAUAUAUUGGUGGAGGAACGAACCUAAAUAGCUUCAUGGGAGAUAUUAAUACUCAGAUAACAAGGGAGAAGGAGGAUUGGCGAGCUGCUCAAUAGCUUGCCCCUUUGCUUUGAUCAAUUAGUUAUUUCCUCAAUUUUUAUAAAUUCUUUGUCUUGGAAUAUUAGAGGUUUGGGUUCUUUGGGGAAAAGGAAUGCUUUGUCAAAGUCUCUUUUGCAUCAUAAGAUUGAUUGUUGCUUAUUGUUAAAAACAAAAUUGGAAAAUUGUACUGAUGCUAUGGUGCACAGAAUCUGGAAUCAUUUAGAUAUCAAAUGAACUGCUGUUGACUCAGUAGGGCGUUCGGGUGGUUUACUGGCCAAGUGGGAUGACUCCAAGUUCAGAGUCACCUCGGUUGAUUGUGGCAAUGGGUGGAUUGCUCUUAGCAGAGAAAAUGUCCAUACCAGUUUCAGAUUUUUUUGUUAACGUCGCAACUUAGAUUAUGGAACACUAGCACCUACAGCCUGAAUCAAGAGAAGAAACUGAUGGAUAUUCAGGUGACCAUUGCAGACCUCGUUAGGUGAGGUUAGUCAAAUUGUGGAGAGUAUCUCGUCAACAAUGGUGUAGUCUCAGUGAUCAGAAUACUAAGUUUUUCCACUUAAUGGCUAACAGACGGGGCCAUAAAAAGUUCAUCAUGGAGGUUCGUCAUGCAAACAGGAUUCACAGAACGCCAAGUGAGAUAAAAUCAUCAGCUACCUCUUAUUUCACCAAUUUAUUUAGCAGACCAAAUAUGAGAAGAGCAGUUAUAAGGGAUAUGGGCUUCAAGAGGUUGAGUACGGGUCAGUCAGCCUUUUUAGAGAGACCAAUUACUCUUGAUGAAGUUCAUGAGGCGGUUUGGGAUUGUGACAGAACAAAAUCACCGGGGCCGGAUGGUUUCAACUUCAGAUUUUACAGGAAAGUCCGGCACCUUAUCUGUCAUGAUUUGUUUUCUCUUGUAAAUGAAUUUUUCAGGACAGAACGAAUGCCAAGAGGAGUCAAUCAUUCAUAUGUAGCUCUGAUUGCUAAGAAACUGGAAGCAACAACUUCCUCGGACUUUAGACCGAUUAGUAUGGUGAGUGGUGGUAUCUACAAAAUAUUGUCUAAAAUUCUUUCCAAUCGGCUAAAGGGUGUCAUGCAGGACUUGAUCAGUGAUAACCAAACAGCCUUCAUUGCCGGAAGACAAAUUGUAGAUGGUUAUAUGAUAGCAAACGAGGCGAUUCAUUCUCUUAAAUUAAUCAUCAGGCCACUCAUGUAUGAUUUUUAAGGUGGAUUUCCACAAGGCAUUUGACUCUCUUCUCUGAGAAUACCUUCUGGAUAUUAUGGGUUAUAUGGGGUUCACUGAGAAGUGGAGGAGCCUCCUCAUCUACUAGUGCUUUUCAACCUCAAAACUCUCUGUCCUUAUCAAUGUUCUCCAACUCAAGAAUUUGGUGUUACUUUAAAAAAAAACUCUCUGUCCUCAUCUA